GGCCCAAAUUUGAAGUAGAGUUGAUUGGUGGGGUCACCUGGCCAUACUAAUCUAAUCUACUUCAAGUUUGCGCCC
rfam:Haemonchus contortus, ISE/inbred ISE, WGS project CAVP01000000 data, contig: Hcontortus_46745